AUUGAACGCUGGCGGCAGGCCUAACACAUGCAAGUCGAGCGGAUAAAGGGAGCUUGCUCCUGGAUUCAGCGGCGGACGGGUGAGUAAUGCCUAGGAAUCUGCCUGGUAGUGGGGGAUAACGUCCGGAAACGGGCGCUAAUACCGCAUACGUCCUGAGGGAGAAAGUGGGGGAUCUUCGGACCUCACGCUAUCAGAUGAGCCUAGGUCGGAUUAGCUAGUUGGUGGGGUAAAGGCCUACCAAGGCGACGAUCCGUAACUGGUCUGAGAGGAUGAUCAGUCACACUGGAACUGAGACACGGUCCAGACUCCUACGGGAGGCAGCAGUGGGGAAUAUUGGACAAUGGGCGAAAGCCUGAUCCAGCCAUGCCGCGUGUGUGAAGAAGGUCUUCGGAUCGUAAAGCACUUUAAGUUGGGAGGAAGGGCAGUAAGUUAAUACCUUGCUGUUUUGACGUUACCAACAGAAUAAGCACCGGCUAACUUCGUG
rnacentral:rRNA from 1 species